rnacentral:rRNA from 1 species
GAUGAACGCUAGCGGCAGGCCUAACACAUGCAAGUCGAGGGGCAGCACGUCUUCGGAUGGUGGCGACCGGCGCACGGGUGCGUAACGCGUAUGCAACCUACCUCUUACAGUGGGAUAGCCCAGAGAAAUUUGGAUUAAUACCGCAUAGUAUACAGAUUCAGCAUUGGGACUGUAUUAAACNUUUAUGGGUAAGAGAUGGGCAUGCGUUCUAUUAGUUAGUUGGAGUGGUAACGGCACCCCAAGACAGCGAUAGAUAGGGGCCCUGAGAGGGGGAUCCCCCANACUGGUACUGAGACACGGACCAGACUCCUACGGGAGCAGCAGUGAGGAAUAUUGGACAAUGGGCGAGAGCCUGAUCCAGCCAUGCCGCGUGCAGGAAGACGGCCCUAUGGGUUGUAAACU